UUUUGCUGUUUAAAUAUCAGUCCCAUUUGGAGCCAGCAAUCACAGAAGUCGACUAUGUGCUUAAAAAAAAUCAAUACAUUCCUAGGGUGAUGAUAAGUUAGAAGGGUCGUAAAUUACACGCAUGGCUUACGAGAAAUGGAUGGGGAGGUUUGCCCAGUAUAUUGACUAUUUUGUCUUUGAAACGUAGCCAUCAAUUAUGAUGGCCCCUUGUGCAGAAGAAGCCAGAUUUAUGACUGUGAUUGGAAAGGAGGAGUAAGUACAAGCUUUUACUGAGCUUUGACUUGGGGCCAGAAAUUGUAAAAGAAUUCUGAAUUCCGAAACACUUCUGGCUCAGGGACUGUUGACUCAUAUUGUACUAGCUGGAGAUAUCAUGGUGCAGUGGAUCACGCCUGUAAUCCCAGCAUUUUGGGAGACAGAGGCGGGUGGAUCACUUGAGGCCAAGAGUUCAAGACCAGCCUGGCCAAAAUGGGGAAACCUCCUCUCUUUGAAAAACACAAAAAUUAGCCCAGCAUAGUGGCGCAUGCCUGUAGUCCCAGCUACUCAGGAGGCUGACAGGAGAAUCGCUUGAACCCCAGAGGUGGAGGUUGCAGUGAGCAGAGAUUGCACCACUGCACUCCUGCACUCCAGCCUGGGUGACACCAAAAAAAGAAGAAGAAAGACGAAAGAAGAAGAAAGAAGAAAGAAGGAAACUAUUUCCAUUACUGUGAACAGCCUGUUCAUAUUGAGUUGUUGGUCUUAAAAAUCAAUUUAUAGAAAAUCAUUACAUAUUUGUGUAUAUUUUUGGCAUAAGUUAAAAUGUUUGUUCCUAGUUUUGUCUUUGGACUUAGCUUUUUAAAAAUAUUUUGCAUUAUAGAAGUGUUUUAUUAGGUGUAAAGGAUGUUAUUAAUACUUUCUUUUAUAGUUUAUAAGUUUAAGCCACAUUUUCAAAGGCCUUCAAUAGAGCACUUUUGUUUAUGAAUUAUCUAAGUUCCAAUUCUGACCAUAUCAUUUCAUUAAUAAUAACAUAGAGGAGCUGGUUACCUCCCAGUAAAGGCCUUCAUAUCCUAUAUGAAUUAACAUAUUAAGAUUUUCUAAUCUGUAUAUUCAUAAAUCCUACAGCUAAUGGAUGGGUGUAGCCAGGGAAGUGGGGUCACCAAUUAUAUAUAGUACCAACAUAGUAGGAUUCAUUAAGUAUUAAAAUCCUGAAACUAGAUUGUAUUUGUUCACAUUAUAGGGGUAUAUCUGUCAACGUGAUCUUCUUCACUCAAAGGAUAAGUCUUUGUCUAGAUAUAGCAAUUGUACUCAGAUGAGAUCCUUGUUCCAGGUCUGAUUUUCAGUCCUGCACUGAGCAGCUGCCAUAGAAAGACAGAAAGCAUUGAUAAGAGCUUUUUUGAUGUUAUAAAACUUAAGAAAAUAAUGGAGAAUUAGCAGGUAUCACAAGACAAGAGAAAGGAAAAAAUAAGGGCUGAAUAUUGGAGAGAAUUAGGAGGUGUCAAAGGAGGUAAAUAAAAGAAUUAAUGGACUAGAAGGAGGAACAAUCCUAGGGAAUUAGCUUAUGUUAGAUUGGGAGGUAAGAAGAAAAAGGGGGGAUACAAUCGAGAAGAAGUAACACAUGUCGUAAAGGAGAUACAAUGAGAGAAAAGAGGGAAGAAAAACUCAGAACCUGAAUUUAUCUAGAAUUUAGGUCUGACAUUAGACAUGGAUCUAGACCUGGAUGUUGGACGGGUGCCCCAGUCAUGAACCUGAAAUGGACCUAGGGUAUGUAUAUUGGAUCUUGACUAUGGACAUGGACCAUGAACCUAUACUGAAUAAGGACAUUGGAAUUGGACCUCGGACCUUUUAUACUUACCUUGAACCACGAUUUCAAACUUAGACAUCAGAUGGAGACCUGGAUCUCAGACCUUGGUGUAAGCCUUGACCGUGUACUUUAACUUGAAUUUAGCACCUGAACUUGGACACUGGAACUGGAUGUGGGGCCUAAAACUUGACACUGUAUUCAUCCAGAACCUCGAAUCUGACCUUAAUUAUGCUCCAUGGUUGUGCACUUGGGCUUUAGUCACUGAGAUUGGACCUAGACAACUAAUCAUAAACUUGAAUCUCAGAUCUUGACCUGCACCUGACCUUAGACCUGGAAUUUCAACACAAACCUCAAUCCUAGACAUAGAUGUGAACCUGAACCUUAAAACUAUGCUCUUGACCCUGGAUCUUUACCUUAUCUUGGACAUUGAAUCUUGAACAUGGAAAUGAAUUUGACCUAGAUGUUAGAACUGAUAUUAGACCUGGACCUUGAACGUGGACAAUAUCUUGAAUUAUGGGAAUGUACCUUGGACUUUGACCUUGGAUGUAGUCUUUAUCCUUAGACAUAGACUUUGGGCCAGCCCUUAGAACUGGACCUAGCCUUCACUUUGUCAUAGAUGUUGACUGUGGACCUCAGAUCUUCACAUGAACUUUGAAAAAAUAUAUUUUUACUUUUAAUUCUUAUGGAUACAUACUAAUAGCCCAUAUUUAUGGGGUACAUGUGACAGCCUGAUACAAGGUUACAGUGUGUAAUGAUCAAAUCAGGGUAAUUGGGGAAUCCAUAACCUCAAGCGUUUAUCAUUUCUUUGUGUUAGGAACACUUCAGUUUUAAUCUUUUAGUUAUUGUAAAAUAAACAAUAAAUUACUGUUAACUGUAGCCACCAUAAUGUACUACCAAACACUAGAUGCUAUUCUUUCUACCAACUGUGUUUUUGUAUCCAUCAACUAUCCCUUCUUUAUCCCCCUUUCCUCACUAUUCUUUCCAGUCUCUGGCAACCAUCAUUCUACUGUCUAUCUUUGUUAGUUGAAUAUUUUUUUUAGCUCUGAUAUACUAGUGAGAACAUGUGAUAUUUGUCUUUCUGUUCCUGGCUUAUUCAACUUAAUAUAAUUUCCUCCAGUUCCAUCCAUGUUGUUGCAAAUGGCAAGACUGCAUUCCUUUCGAUGGCUGAAUAAUAAUCUAUUGUGUACAUAUGCCACAUUUUUGUUGUUUUUCAUUCACUCGUUGAUGGACACUUGGAUUGAGUAUAUAUCUUGGCUAUUGUGAAUUGUUCUGCAAUAAACAUGGGAGGGCAGGUAUUUCUUCAAUAUACUAAUUUAUUUUAUUUAGGGUAUAUACCCAGUGGUGGGAUCCCAGUAGCUGGAUCAUACAACAGUUCUAAUUUUAGUUCUCUGAGGAAUCUCCAUACUGUUCUCCAUAGUGGCUGUACUAGUUUACAUUCCCACCAACAGUAUAUGGGGAUCUUUCUUUCUCCACAUGAUCACCAGCAUUUGUUAUCUUUUUGGAUAAAACUGUUUUAACUGGGGUAAGAUGAUCUCUCAUUGCAGUUUUGAUUUGUAUUUCUCUGAUGAUUAAUGAUGUUGAGCAUUUUUGCAUAUACCUGUUGGCCAUUUGUAUGUUUCCUUUUGAGAAAUGUCUAUUCAUAUCUUUUGCCAUUUUAAAAUUGGAUUAUUUGUUUUUAUUCCUGAGUUGUUUGAGCUCCUUAUUUAUUCUGAGUAUUUAUUACCUGUCAGAUGGGUAAUUUGCAAAUAUGUUCUCCCAUUUUAUGGGUUUUCUCUUCAGCUUGUUGACUGUUUUCUUUUCUGUGCAGAAGCUGUUUAACUUGAUAUAAUUCCAUUUGGACAUGAACUUUGAACCUAGAUUUUGGACCUGCAUUUUUUCAGUUCCUUAAAUAUACUUUCCAUUGCAACUAGGAUUUUAUUUGAAUAGGUGGUAAGAAGUUACUUUGAAGAAGUGCCUGAAAUUGACUUUCUUUGUUUAUAUGCUGCUUAUUUCCACAAACGCUGCUUUGAUUCAUUUUAACUUGUUCUAUCUGGAAUAAAGUACAUUUGAGAUGAAAGUGUUUUUCUGAACUAUUUUGCUGACAGAUGCUUAAUCUGGUUUCAUUCACUAAACACCUGUUUCUCAUUCCAAAUGGAACAAAAAUUAUCAAAAUCAGUGCCCUUUAGAAUCAGAUCAACUCAUUUUCUCACUGCUACCACCAGGUACAUUCUGUUUUAUGCUCUCAAAAAUCCCUAUACAUCUGUCUUUCAGAGCGCUCCUCAUUCUGUAAUUAAUUGAGCUAUUAUUUCAUUAAUUUAUUAAUUAUGGGGUACAUGUGAUAGCCUGAUACAAGGUUACAGUGUGUAAUGAUCAAAUCAAGGUAAUUGGGGAAUCCAUAACCUCAAGCUUUAAUCAUUUCUUUGUGUUAGGAACACUUCA
rnacentral:lncRNA from 1 species